CUUCAUUUUCAAUUCCCUGAAAGCUCCUAUCACAAUGUUGGGUUCAUGGGUUUCUGUUGAAUUGAUUUAAUGGUUUGGGAAAAAGCCCAGAUAACUCUCUGGUGACAUAUCCAAGAAUUCUGGAUUAAUAUCAAUAGUACUUUCUAUUAAAAAUGCAUUCAGGCUACCUGCUGUCUAAAAUAACCUACAUUCCCUUUUUGGAACUGACUAGCCUUUAAAGACUUGACGCAAGUAAGCUUUAGAAGGGUUUAUCAAUAAACACUUAUAUAUGGAUUAAUCGAUUGAUGUACAGUCUCCGCAGUGUAUCUUUAAUAUCGACCUAUUGUGUUGCUUAAAGCCAACUCAUCAAAAAAUUGUUUUGUUUCAUUUUGAGAUUUGAUCCUUGCCUGAUCAAUGGCUGAGAUUUCAUCUUGGAAUUUUAGGCUCCUGGACAUCAAUGAAUAAUCUAACAAUAUUGGGAAGAAACAAGCGUGAGGAACGUGGCCCAAAAGUUGAGCGUAAGACUCACAGUCAACCUGCCUAUCUCCAAGUCUAAAUGUGCAAUUCACCAUCAGAUUAUGAGAACACAGAGCUGACAGAAAUUUCCCAUGCCUUCCAUAAAGCGAUUUUGACCUCUCUACUUCAAGAUAUUUGCUUUCCCUCUGAACUCAUAAGCUUUAUCAGUAGACUCGUCAAUUUGAUAGCUAUUAUAUAUGUAAAAACAAAAAGAGAAAAGAAAAGAACAAUAAAUUUUAAACAUCUACUAAGUUUUGGAUGUAAUGCUGUACUGUAUAGAUCGACAUCUCAUAGGUUAUGAAAACAUUUUUUUUCUCAUUAAUGUCUCUGAAACUGGGAUGCUUUGCACAAUCAACUGUGUCUGACAAUUGCUAUUGACCAGCCAGUAGUCAUGACAUAACUAUGUCAUUAUUCACUUAAUAUUUUGGUGGACUAUCAGGAAAACUCCAAUCCCUUGACAUUUAAUACAGUCAACACUUAAGGACCAUUUGAAGAAAGAAUGGAAGUUCUGAGUGCUGGAAACCUUUUGUUUUGUUUUUUUGAGACAGAGUCUUGCUCUGUCACCCAGGCUGGAGUGCAAUGGUGCGUCCUCGGCUCACUGCAACCUCCACCUUUCAGGUUCAAGAAAUUCCCUGCCUCAGCCUCCCAA
rnacentral:lncRNA from 1 species